GGACUUGAUAGAGGUGCGGGAUUCAUCAGUACCAGAAAUGACACCGUAAACGAAACCGGAGGGAAUCGUUUCUAUGUGUGAUCUGUGCAGUAAAGUAAGGGAGACAGGCAGAAAGACCUGGCUAAAGGCCGGACUGCCGCUGCAGCUGGGAAAGGGGAGACCGCCGAAGAAGCUGUUUUUCGUCCCUGGGAUGCGGCUUCUGGGCCGCAGCAGAAUAUGCUGUGGACUGUCACAUCAGUGGAGCGCUAUCACGGGA
rnacentral:ncRNA from 2 species